UACGUAGGGUGCAAGCGUUGUCCGGAAUUAUUGGGCGUAAAGAGCUCGUAGGCGGUCUGUCGCGUCGGCUGUGAAAACUCGGGGCUCAACCCCGAGCCUGCAGUCGAUACGGGCAGACUAGAGUGCUGUAGGGGAGACUGGAAUUCCUGGUGUAGCGGUGAAAUGCGCAGAUAUCAGGAGGAACACCGGUGGCGAAGGCGGCACCCUGGACCAGCACUGACGCUGAGGCACGAAAGCGUGGGGAUCAAACAGG
rnacentral:rRNA from 1 species